AUGGUACUAAAAAGCCACAGAGAUUACUCUACAGUAAAUGAACAGUUGCACAGAUCUCAGGAAUCAGUGAAACCCAAGGGGUAUUCAGGGCAGCGGGGCAAGACAACAGGACAGCAGUGGAACCAGAAGUUCGAGCAGGGUUUUAUCACAGACCCUGUAGUGCUGAGUCCCACAAACACUGUGGGCGAUGUGCUGGAGGCCAAGAUCCGGCACGGCUUCUCUGGUAUCCCCAUCACUGAGACAGGCACAAUGGGCAGCAAGCUGGUGGGCAUCGUCACCUCCCGGGACAUCGACUUCCUGGCCGAGAAGGACCACACCACACUCCUCAAUGAAGUGAUCACGCCGCGGAAUGAACUGGUGGUGGCUCCGGCAGGGGUGACGUUGAAAGAGGCAAAUGAGAUUCUGCAGCGCAGCAAUAAAGGAAAGCUGCCCAUUGUCAAUGACCAUGACGAGUUGGUGGCCAUCAUCGCCCGCACUGACCUGAAGAAGAACCGAGACUACCCCCUGGCUUCCAAGGAUUCCCACAAGCAGCUGCUGUGCGGGGCAGCCGUGGACACCCGUGAGGACGACAAAUACCGCCUGGACCGGCUCAUCCAGGCGGGCGCCGACGUCAUCGUGCUGGACUCCUCCCAAGGGAACUCAGUGUAUCAGAUCGCCAUGGUGCACUACAUCAAGCAGAAGUACCCCCACCUCCAGGUGAUUGGGGGCAAUGUGGUGACAGCAGCUCAGGCCAAGAACCUGACUGACGCAGGCGUGGACGGGCUGCGUGUGGGCAUGGGCUGUGGUUCCAUCUGCAUCACCCAAGAAGUGAUGGGCUGUGGCCGGCCCCAGGGCACUGCCGUGUACAGAGUGGCUGAGUAUGCCCGGCGCUUUGGUGUGCCUAUCAUAGCCGAUGGUGGCAUCCAGACCGUGGGCCACGUGGUCAAGGCCCUGGCCCUCGGAGCCUCUACAGUGAUGAUGGGGUCCCUGCUGGCCGCCACCAUAGAGGCCCCAGGCGAAUACUUCUUUUCGGAUGGAGUGCGGCUCAAGAAGUACCAGGGCAUGGGCUCGCUGAACGCCAUGGAGAACAGCAGCAGCCAGAAGCGAUACUUCAGUGAGGGGGACAAGGUGAAGAUUGCGCAGGGUGUCUCCGGCUCAAUCCAGGACAAAGGCUCUAUCCAGAAGUUCGUACCCUACCUCAUCGCAGGAAUCCAGCACAGGUGCCAGGACAUCGGGGCCCAGAGCCUGUCUGUGCCCAUGAUGUACUCAGGAGAGCUCAAGUUUGAGAAGCGGACCAUGUCGGCCCAGAUCGAGGGUGGCGUCCAUGGCUUGCACUCUUAGGAGAAGCGGCUGUACUGA